AGGGGUGUAGCUCAGUUGGUAGAGCAUCGGUCUCCAAAACCGAGGGUCGGGGGUUCGAGUCCCUUCGCCCCUGCCA
rnacentral:tRNA from 1 species